GCGGCAACACCAACCUGUGAGGUGUAGCUGUGGAGCCACAGUCCGAGUCCGCCAGCUUCUGAGGCCCUGAAACCUAAUACCAUUCUGACUUGCCCAUCCUCCAGAAGUCGCUAAGAGAGUAAGCCUUGCGUGCUGCAGUCCAUGGAGUUACAAAGAGUUGGACAAAACUGAGCAACUGAACAACAACAAAGAGACUGCAGCUUUUUACCUGGCCCAGGAAGCCCAGAAAACUAAUCAAACUGAUCACAUGGCCUACAGCCUUGUCUUACUCAAGAAAACUAUGAGCCAUGCUCUAUAGGGC
ensembl:lncRNA